UGAGCCAAGUUUAGGGUUUUCUCAAAACCCAAGCAGUAUUGAACUGAAGAGUUUGAUCAUGGCUCAGAUUGAACGCUGGCGGCAGGCCUAACACAUGCAAGUCGAGCGGAUGAAGGGAG
rnacentral:rRNA from 1 species